CCGGUUGAUCCUGCCGGAGAGCACUGCUAUCGGAAUCCGAUUAAGCCAUGCAAGUCGAGAGUCUUAGGGACUCGGCGAACUGCUCAGUAAUACAUGGUUAAUCUGCCCUGUGGUCAGGAAUAACUUCGAGAAAUUGAAGGUAAUGCCUGAUGGGGAUUCAAACCUGGAAUGGUUGAAUUCUUAAAGAUUUAUCGCCACAGGAUGAGACCAUGUCCUAUCAGCUUGUUGGGGGUGUAACGGACCCCCAAGGCUAUUACGGGUACGGGCCAUGAGAGUGGAAACCCGGAGAUGGAUUCUGAGACAUGAAUCCAGAUUCUACGGAAUGCAGCAGGCGCGAAACCUUUACAAUGCACGAGAGUGUGAUAAGGGGAUUCCGAGUGCUGUAGUUAAAACUACAGCUUUUAUCAAGUUUAAAUCGCUUUUUGAAUAAGGGGUGGGUAAGACGGGUGCCAGCCGCCGCGGUAAUACCCGCGCCUCGAGUGGUGUUCACUUUUAUUGGGUUUAAAGCGUUCGUAGCCGGUUUAACAAGUUCCUGGUGAAAUUCCAUUGUAAACAAUGGAGCUUGCUGGGAAAACUGUUAGACUUGGGACUGGGAGAGGGCAGAGGUACUCAUGAGGUAGGGGUAAAAUCCUGUAAUCUUAUGGGGACCACCUGUGGCGAAGGCGUCUGCCUAGAACGGGUCCGACGGUGAUGGACGAAAGCUAGGGGAGCGAUCGGGAUUAGAUACCCCGGUAGUCCUAGCCGUAAACGAUGCCCGUUUGGUAUUGCAUACCUUAAGGGGGUUUGCAGUGCCGUAGUGUAAAUGUUAAACGGGCCACCUGAGGAGUACGGUCGCAAGGCUAAAACUUAAGGGAAUUGGCGGGGGAGCACACCAGGGGUGGAGGCUGCGGUUCAAUUGGAGUCAACGCCGGGAAUCUC
rnacentral:rRNA from 1 species